rnacentral:rRNA from 1 species
GACGAACGCUGGCGGCGCGCUUAACACAUGCAAGUCGAGCGAGAACCAAGCCUUCGGGCUUGGGGACAGCGGCGAACGGGUGAGUAACACGUGGGUAAUCAACCCUCGACACUGGGAUAGCCCGGGGAAACCCGGAUUAAUACCGGAUACCCCAUCUGGCCUUCGGGCCGGCUGGAAAAGGUAGCUUCGGCCUCCGGUCGGGGACGAGCCCGCGGCGGAUUAGCUUGUUGGUGGGGUAAAGGCCCACCAAGGCGACGAUCCGUAGCUGGUCUGAGAGGACGAUCAGCCACACUGGGACUGAGACACGGCCCAGACUCCUACGGGAGGCAGCAGUGGGGAAUCUUGCGCAAGGGGCGAAAGCCUGACGCAGCGACGCCGCGUGAGAGAAGAAGGCCUUCGGGUUGUAAACCUCUUUCAGGAGGGACGAAGCCACUCGGGUUAAUAGCCCAGAGGGUGACGGUACCUCCAGAAGAAGCCCCGGCUAACUACGUGCCAGCCGCCGCGGUAAAAC